CACUCCUACGGGAGGCAGCAGUGGGGAAUAUUGCACAAUGGGCGCAAGCCUGAUGCAGCCAUGCCGCGUGUAUGAAGAAGGCCUUCGGGUUGUAAAGUACUUUCAGCGGGGAGGAAGGCAAUACGGUUAAUAACCGUGUUGAUUGACGUUACCCGCAGAAGAAGCACCGGCUAACUCCGUGCCAGCAGCCGCGGUAAUACGGAGGGUGCAAGCGUUAAUCGGAAUUACUGGGCGUAAAGCGCACGCAGGCGGUCUGUCAAGUCGGAUGUGAAAUCCCCGGGCUCAACCUGGGAACUGCAUUCGAAACUGGCAGGCUUGAGUCUUGUAGAGGGGGGUAGAAUUCCAGGUGUAGCGGUGAAAUGCGUAGAGAUCUGGAGGAAUACCGGUGGCGAAGGCGGCCCCCUGGACAAAGACUGACGCUCAGGUGCGAAAGCGUGGGGAGCAAACAGGAUUAGAUACCCUAGAGUCCC
rnacentral:rRNA from 1 species